AUUGAACGCUGGCGGCAGGCCUAACACAUGCAAGUCGAACGGUAACAGGAAGAAGCUUGCUUCUUUGCUGACGAGUGGCGGACGGGUGAGUAAUGUCUGGGAAACUGCCUGAUGGAGGGGGAUAACUACUGGAAACGGUAGCUAAUACCGCAUAACGUCGCAAGACCAAAGAGGGGGACCUUCUGGCCUCUUGCCAUCGGAUGUGCCCAGAUGGGAUUAGCUAGUUGGUGGGGUAACGGCUCACCUAGGCGACGAUCCCUAGCUGGUCUGAGAGGAUGACCAGCCACACUGGAACUGAGACACGGUCCAGACUCCUACGGGAGGCAGCAGUGGGGAAUAUUGGACAAUGGGCGCAAGCCUGAUGCAGCCAUGCCGCGUGUAUGAAGAAGGCCUUCGGGUUGUAAAGUACUUUUAGCGGGGAGGAAGGGAGUAAAGUUAAUACCUUGGCUCAUUGACGUUACCCGCAGAAGAAGCACCGGCUAACUCCGUG
rnacentral:rRNA from 1 species